rnacentral:rRNA from 1 species
UACGUAGGUGGCAAGCGUUGUCCGGAAUUAUUGGGCGUAAAGCGCGCGCAGGCGGUCCUUUAAGUCUGAUGUGAAAGCCCACGGCUCAACCGUGGAGGGUCAUUGGAAACUGGGGGACUUGAGUGUAGAAGAGGAAAGCGGAAUUCCACGUGUAGCGGUGAAAUGCGUAGAGAUGUGGAGGAGCACCAGUGGCGAAGGCGGCUUUCUGGUCUGUAACUGACGCUGAGGCGCGAAAGCGUGGGGAGCAAACAGG